UCCGGUUUAGACCGGCGGUCUCCCUAGAGAUUUCAACUAAGGACAAGGGUUGCGCUCGUUGCGGGACUUAACCCAACACCUCACGGCACGAGCUGACGACAGCCAUGCAGCAUCUGUGCAUGCUCUCUUGCGAGUCCCUCAGGUUUCCCUUCAGUACCACAUGCAUGUCAAUCCGAGGUAAGGUUCUGCGCGUUGCAUCGAAUUAAACCACAUGUUCCACCGCUUGUGCGGGCCCCCGUCAAUUCCUUUGAGUUUCAGUCUUGCGACCGUACUCCCCAGGUGCAGGACUUAACGCGUUAGCUCCGGGACGGAAGGGGUCAAUACCCCCCACAUCUAGUGCCCAACGUUUACAGCGUGGACUAC
rnacentral:misc_RNA from 1 species